rnacentral:rRNA from 1 species
GACGAACGCUGGCGGCGUGCUUAACACAUGCAAGUCGAACGGAAAGGCCCUGCUUUUGUGGGGUGCUCGAGUGGCGAACGGGUGAGUAACACGUGAGUAACCUGCCCUUGACUUUGGGAUAACUUCAGGAAACUGGGGCUAAUACCGGAUAGGAGCUCCUGCUGCAUGGUGGGGGUUGGAAAGUUUCGGCGGUUGGGGAUGGACUCGCGGCUUAUCAGCUUGUUGGUGGGGUAGUGGCUUACCAAGGCUUUGACGGGUAGCCGGCCUGAGAGGGUGACCGGCCACAUUGGGACGGAGAGCCGGCCCAGACUCCUACGGGAGGCAGCAGGGGGGAAUAUUGCACAAUGGGCGGAAGCCUGAUGCAGAAACGCCGCGUGCGGGAUGACGGCCUUCGGGUUGUAAACCGCUUUCGCCUGUGACGAAGCGUGAGUGACGGUAAUGGGUAAAGAAGCACCGGCUAACUACG